rnacentral:rRNA from 1 species
CGCCUUGCCAGCCCGCUCAGAAACUUAAAUGAAUUGACGGGGGCCCGCACAAGCGGUGGAGCAUGUGGUUUAAUUCGACGCAACGCGAAGAACCUUACCUGGGUUUGACAUCUUGGGAAUCCUUUGGAAACAAGGGAGUGUCUCGCAAGAGGAGCCCGAAGACAGGUGCUGCAUGGCUGUCGUCAGCUCGUGUCGUGAGAUGUUGGGUUAAGUCCCGCAACGAGCGCAACCCUUAUCUUCAGUUACCAUCAUUCAGUUGGGGACUCUGGAGAUACUGCCCCGGUUAACGGGGAGGAAGGUGGGGAUGACGUCAAGUCCUCAUGGCCUUUAUAUCCAGGGCUACACACGUGCUACAAUGGUCCGUACAAAGGGUUGCGAGCCUGCGAGGGUGAGCUAAUCCCGUAAAGCGGAUCUCAGUUCGGAUUGGAGUCUGCAACUCGACUGCGUGAAGUCGGAAUCGCUAGUAAUCGUGAAUCAGAAUGUCACGGUGAAUACGUUCCCGGACCUU